rnacentral:rRNA from 1 species
GACGAACGCUGGCGGCGUGCCUAAUACAUGCAAGUCGUGCGGACCUUUUAAAAGCUUGCUUUUAAAAGGUUAGCGGCGGACGGGUGAGUAACACGUGGGCAACCUGCCUGUAAGAUCGGGAUAACGCCGGGAAACCGGGGCUAAUACCGGAUAGUUUUUUUCUCCGCAUGGAGGAAAAAGGAAAGACGGCUUCGGCUGUCACUUACAGAUGGGCCCGCGGCGCAUUAGCUAGUUGGUGGGGUAAUGGCUCACCAAGGCAACGAUGCGUAGCCGACCUGAGAGGGUGAUCGGCCACAUUGGGACUGAGACACGGCCCAAACUCCUACGGGAGGCAGCAGUAGGGAAUCUUCCGCAAUGGACGAAAGUCUGACGGAGCAACGCCGCGUGAGUGAAGAAGGCCUUCGGGUCGUAAAACUCUGUUGCCGGGGAAGAACAAGUGCCGUUCGAACAGGGCGGCGCCUUGACGGUACCCGGCCAGAAAGCCACGGCUAACUAC